rnacentral:rRNA from 1 species
GAACGCUAGCUACAGGCUUAACACAUGCAAGUCGCGGGGCAGCAUGAAUUUAGCUUGCUAAAUUUGAUGGCGACCGGCGCACGGGUGAGUAACGCGUAUCCAACCUUCCCCUGUCCACGGGAUAGCCCGUCGAAAGGCGGAUUAAUACCGUAUGAGGUCAUACGAUGGCAUCAGAAUAUGACGAAAGGUUUAGCGGUGAAGGAUGGGGAUGCGUCUGAUUAGCUUGUUGGUGAGGUAACGGCUCACCAAGGCGACGAUCAGUAGGGGUUCUGAGAGGAAGGUCCCCCACAUUGGAACUGAGACACGGUCCAAACUCCUACGGGAGGCAGCAGUGAGGAAUAUUGGUCAAUGGGCGAGAGCCUGAACCAGCCAAGUAGCGUGCAGGAUGACGGCCCUAUGGGUUGUAAACUGCUUUUAUAUGGGGAUAAAGUGAGUUACGUGUAGCUUAUUGCAGGUACCAUAUGAAUAAGGACCGGCUAAUUCCGUG